rnacentral:rRNA from 1 species
GCGUGUGUGAAGAAGGUCUUCGGAUCGUAAAGCACUUUCGACAGGGACGAUGAUGACGGUACCUGUAGAAGAAGCCCCGGCUAACUUCGUGCCAGCAGCCGCGGUAAUACGAAGGGGGCUAGCGUUGUUCGGAAUUACUGGGCGUAAAGCGCACGCAGGCGGUCUGCUCAGUCAGGAGUGAAAGCCCCGGGCUCAACCUGGGGAUAGCUCUUGAUACUGGCAGGCUUGAAUCACGGAGAGGGUAGUGGAAUUCCGAGUGUAGAGGUGAAAUUCGU